rnacentral:rRNA from 1 species
GAGUUUGAUCCUGGCUCAGGAUGAACGCUGGCGGCGUGCUUAACACAUGCAAGUCGAACGAUGAUCCGGUGCUUGCACCGGGGAUUAGUGGCGAACGGGUGAGUAACACGUGAGUAACCUGCCCUUAACUCUGGGAUAAGCCUGGGAAACUGGGUCUAAUACCGGAUAUGACUCCUCAUCGCAUGGGGGGGGGUGGAAAGCUUUAUUGUGGUUUUGGAUGGACUCGCGGCCUAUCACCUUGUUGGUGAGGUAAUGGCUCACCAAGGCGACGACGGGUAGCCGGCCUGAGAGGGUGACCGGCCACACUGGGACUGAGACACGGCCCAGACUCCUACGGGAGGCAGCAGUGGGGAAUAUUGCACAAUGGGCGCAAGCCUGAUGCAGCGACGCCGCGUGAGGGAUGACGGCCUUCGGGUUGUAAACCUCUUUCAGUAGGGAAGAAGCGAAAGUGACGGUACCUGCAGAAGAAGCGCCGGCUAAAUACGUGCCAGCAGCCGCGGUAAUACGUAGGGCGCAAGCGUUAUCCGGAAUUAUUGGGCGUAAAGAGCUUGUAGGCGGUUUGUCGCGUUUGCCGUGAAAGUCCGGGGCUCAACUCCGGAUUUGCGGUGGGUACGGGCAGACUAGAGUGAUGUAGGGGAGACUGGAAUUCCUGGUGUAGCGGUGAAAUGCGCAGAUAUCAGGAGGAACACCGAUGGCGAAGGCAGGUCUUUGGGCAUUAACUGACGCUGAGGAGCGAAAGCAUGGGGAGCGAACAGGAUUAGAUACCCUGGUAGUC